rnacentral:rRNA from 1 species
UACAGAGGUCCCGAGCGUUGUUCGGAUUCAUUGGGCGUAAAGGGUGCGUAGGCGGUCUUCUAAGUUUGAUGUGAAAUCCCGGGGCUCAACCCUGGAAUUGCAUUGAAUACUGGAGGACUAGAGUACCGGAGAGGAAACUGGAAUUUACGGUGUAGCAGUGAAAUGCGUAGAGCUCGUGAGGAAGACCGGUGGCGAAGGCGGAUCUCUGGACGGCCCCCUGACGCUGAGGCGCGAAGGCUAGGGGAGCAAACAGG